AUUCGUGGAUCCUACCUCCAAAUCUUUGGACGAACAGACCCUCCUCGGUGUGGAUGCUCCACAAUGUGAUUAUGCAGGUGCUGAUCUGCUGACAAGCAUUUGGUCCUACUUAGGGUAGGGGCCGCUAUGAGCAUUUGUGUAGACCUUUGUAUGAAUACAAACUGCCUUUUAGUUUGGACAGAAAACAUGGAAUGGAUGACUGCGCUGACAUCUAACAAUUGAGAGAAACAUGGCUUCAUCAUUUUCCACCCACACAGGCAUAAGACUUAUAGUUCUUUUCUGCCCUUCCCAGCUUUGGUCAGCUUUAUUUUUUGCUAGUCUAUUGGAUGUGUGCUACUAUCUUCUUGAGGCUUCUCUCAGUUACUUUUCUGUUGCUGUAGUAAAAAUAAGGAUUUCUUUUGGCUCACAAAUCAAGGUCACAGUCCAUCAUGGAGGAAGGCAAGAUGGCA
rnacentral:lncRNA from 1 species